CUCCGCCACCGGCUGAAGGGCCUGCCGUGUCGGCCGCUGCUGUGUGCCGGAGGGUGCCGUUGGAGCGUGUCGCCUGCCGCAUGCCGCGCGCCGGGAGACGCCACGGCCGUGCCUGAAGGCCCGCUGUCGCGGGAGUGGCCGUGUCCGCUAGCGGCCACGCCGGAGGGCGUCGUGCGUCGUGUCGACUCUUGAUGCCAGACAAGAGGGCUCUGGUGCCACGUGCCGGUGUUGUGAUGAAGGUCCUGCCAAGUCUCCAUGCCGUGCGCAGGCCAUCUUCUGGAGCCGCUCUAUUGCGGUUGAGGCCUCCGUGCUGCAGCGUCCCUGAAAUCAGCCUUUGCAUGCGCAGGGCACACAACGCUUCCAUGGGGAAGGCCAAAGGUAAUUCUGAUAUUGUUUAUUAUGUGCUACGUGAAGUAUUAAGUUUGGAAGAGGGACACCUUGUUAUUAUAGAGUAGCAAUUAGAUCAAGACUUCUGUAUUCAUUUGAUCGCCUACGGAAAGGGGUGGCCGUGGAUGUUCGUUUAGUCUUUGAUGAUCUUGUGUUUUCUUCAAUUCCUUUCUUCUUAUCCUUCUUUGUUCCUUCUUUUCUGUUGCCGUUUGGAAAUGAUUUGUGAAUCGAUGAAGGCUGAUGCCCCUGCUCUGGUCUGGAGUGCUGCGCCGUGAAGGCCAUUUGACUAUCUUGUCGUGCCGACAGCGACAAUUCCUAAUAGUCAAGAACAAAUAUUAGGUAAAUCGCAUUAGCACAUGAUGUAUCUUAGCAACUAGAUUAACAUCGCCUUUGGUUGUAUUGGUGUGAUUAUUCCAUGCUGCUCUAAGGUGUUGAUUCCAACGGAAUCGUUGAUUUGCUAUUUAUCCGUUCUUCUUGACUCCCUGUUUGUGAGGUGAUCCCUCUUGCGUCAUCUCUUCCCCUGUGUGUGUUUAAAUCGCUCGAUCGGAGAGCAAAGUGCAUGAUAACGUGUUUGAAGUAGAAAGUAAAGAACGAGAGAGUUGAAUGAAAGACGAUCCAUUAGUCUUUAUUGAUGAUAGAAGUGAGGUAUUUAUACCCAGGCGGAAGUACAAAACAUGGUGCUUGGCGGUCAAGUAAACACAUAGUUACUUGAGGGCCAAGGAAUUACAUAGUUGCCUUGAGAGCCAAGGAAUUACAUAGUUGCUUGAGAACCAAUCAACCCAUCUAACAAUUAACUUAAUCCUAAUUAGCUUAAUGAAUAAGCAACUAUUCUAUUCUUAACAACCUCCACAAGCCCCGCCGCGUUUUUUGAGAGAGAGAGUAGAGGAGUGGACCAGACAAGAGAGACAGUUGCGUGUCCACAUAGCGAUCUUGACUAGUCAAAGUGCCCAGGUGGCGUUUUUUUGCCAAGUCACCUUCUGCCGACCGGGCCUCAUCUGUCAUACAUGUGUUUAAAGCGCUCUAAUCCGCCGAUUAGUAUUAUUUACAAAAAUAUUAUCAUAGACAUGAUGGUUUUUGUCAAAGAAAUGUAACGUAGUGUUUUCCGAUAACCUAGCUCUCAAAGUGGUGGUUUCUUGCAAUUUACUCGAUUUCAAAUCAUGUGAUUUAACAAGGCAAAAAUAUUCUUCUAUUGUAGGCGACAACAUUCGUUUAUAGCAAGUUAUACUACAAGGCUUGCUGCAUUUGAACUUCGCAAGGAAGGGCGUGUCGGGUAGUUCCAGGUUUCGGGCAAGGUUCCGGGGUUUAUAGAAACUUUGAUAGACGUGCAAACUUCCAGGUUCCCUCGGAAGUUGUCCAGAACCUGCUCUGGAGGUAUAGGGGUCCAGAAGUUUUGGCCCCAGAAGUUCCAGACAGGACCUAGGAUUUAUAGAGUUUGCACUAGUUAUGCAAACUCUAUGAAUGUCCGUUUCUUUUUCCUUAUUCCGAAUUGAGGGGUAUCUAACCAUCGAGUAGUAAAUGCGUACAUGCAACACAUGUAGACCGAUAGGAGGUAGUAUAUUAAUUCCAUGCAUAUAUUAGAUAGGAUAUUAUUUGUGUGUUAAUUAUGUAAUUAGUGUUGGCAUUGAUAUUUGGUAUGAUAUUAACUACAUGCUAAACAUGUUGAGCGCUCACCAAUGGAGUAGUAUAAAUCGUUGGAUUGACUCGACCAAUAUGAGUUGGAUUUUCCCUUUUGUGUCUUUUUAUAUUGGUGUAUAGAGGUAUAUAUAUCAAACUGCUCGCUAAACGUGUUGAGCGCUCACCAUUGGAGCAGUCUGAGUCGUUGGAUUCACCUGGUUUGAUGGUCAAUAUUAGUUGGAUCUGCCCUUUGGGUCUUUUUAUGUUGCUAUAGAUAUUGAUAUAGAUGUGGUGGUGCUGUUUAUAGAUUUAAGCAUGCUGUUAGAACAUCAAUUAUGUUGCCAUGAAUGUCAAAAACAAUUAAGAGAAUAAAUUCUCUUUCAAUCUUUUCCUUUUUGGCAUCGAUGACAACACAACUUUUUUUGCGUGAAAACUUCCGAUCCAUUCAUCUUCAAUCAUGACAGUACAAAGAAAAAAAUUACAUCCAGAUCCAUAGACCACCUAAGCAACAUAACUUGAUAAGAUAAAGAAAAUGAUAAGCUUAUCAACAUGUUUAAGUGAAAGCAAUGAAAAGCCCCCCUACAUUUAUGCCUUGUUUUAUACUUUGCAUUUGAACGCAAAAUGCACUAGUGUAGAGAUGAACUCCGGCUACUUCAUUGCUACCCAACAUGUGCAACUGAAAAUGGAAUGAAUCAUUGUGAAGUAUACACUUGCAACUAGCUUAUGGUUGGAAAUAUGAAGUUAGAUCGAUAAUAAGUGAAUCUGAAAUAUAAAGUGAGAAGAUAAUAAACGAAUCCCAAACAUAAGAGUGUGUGACAUGGCAAUAAUACAUGUGAAUAACAACACCUUGAUAGAUACUAGUUUUAGGGAAACUUUGCGUACCGGCCGACUGUCUGAAGCCUGAGCCGGUCGCCUCGCGCAAUGGGUUCGAGACUGGUGGACCCACACACUGCUUUGGCAUUGCCUUAUCUCUUCUAACGCGUGCGACAUUCUCCUCCACUCAAUUUUUUCCACCCAAUACAAUCUCUCUUCCCUUUCUCUCUUCUUCCAGAUGUGUGAAGCAAAUAUGCCCUAGAGUAAUAAAGUGAACCUAGAUGCUCAUGGCAUAAGGAAAUAUAAAUAACAACUUUAUAGAAUAUGUGGGAACCAAUGUAUAUUUCCUUAUGCCGUGCAAUAAUAAAGAUCUUCAUAGAAUAUGUGGGAACCAAUAUGAGCAUCUAGGUUCCACUAUUGAUUAUUGACUGGAGAGGUGUCUCGGUCAUGCCUACAUAGUUCUCGAACACGUAGGGUCCGCACGCUUAAUGUUCGAUGACGAUUUGUAUUAUAUGAGUUAUGUGUUUUGGUGACCGAAGGUUGUUCAGAGUCUGAUACGUCUCUGUCGUAUCUACUUUUCCAAACACUUUUGCCCUUGUUUUGGACUCUAACUUGUAUGAUUUGAAUGGAAGUAACUCGGACUGACGCUGUUUUCAGCAGAAUUGCCAUGGUGUUGUUUUAUGUGCAGAAAACAAAAGUUCUCGGAAUGACCUGAAACUCCACGGAAUAUCUUAGAAUAAAUAAUAAAAAAUCCAUGCAAAAGAUGAAGACCAGGGGGCCCACACCCUGCUCACGAGGGUGGGGGGCGCGCCCCUCCCCCUGGGCGCGCCCCCCUACCUCGUGGGCCCCCUAGUGGCCCUCCGACGCCAACUCCAACUCCAUAUAUUGGCUUUCGGGGAGAAAAAAAUCAGAGAGAAACUUUCAUCGCGUUUUACGAUACGGAGCCGCCGCCAAGCCCUAAUCUCUCUCGGGAGGGCCGAUCUGGAGUCCGUUCGGGGCUCCGGAGAGGGGGAUUCGUCGCCGUCGUCAUCAUCAACCAUCCUCCAUCACCAAUUUCAUGAUGCUCACCGCCGUGCGUGAGUAAUUGCAUCGUAGGUUUGCUGGACGGUGAUGGAUUGGAUGAGAUUUAUCAUGUAAUCGAGUUAGUUUUUUUAGGGUUUGAUCCCUAGUAUCCACUAUGUUCUGAGAUUGAUGUUGCUAUGACUUUGCUAUGCUUAAUGCUUGUCACUAGGGCCCGAGUGCCAUGAUUUUAGAUCUGAACCUAUUAUGUUUUCAUGAAUAUAUGUGUGUUCUAGAUCC
rnacentral:rRNA from 1 species